rnacentral:rRNA from 1 species
GUCCGGACUGGCCCAGGGAGGUCGGCAACAACCACCCAGGGCCGGAAAGUUCGUCAAACUUGGUCAUUUAGAGGAAGUAAAAGUCGUAACAAGGUCUCCGUAGGUGAACCUGCGGAGGGAUCAUU